UUGGUGAAGCUUUUCCCUCUGAACCUGGAGUUUUCUGAUACAGGGGAGCAACCUUGCCCGUGUGGUCUGCAAAGUCAGGCAUGUGCUGACUGCUUGAUGAUGGCGAUGAGAGCAGAGCAGCAGGCUGGAGGAGCUGCCUCACACUGUGCCAUGUCCACCUGCGCUGUGGUGCUUGAAACAAGACUUCAUUGCUGAGCUACAGGGAUUAAGGGAAGGGAUUUUAUUUGCCUGCUGCAGUUAGAUGCAGCGUCCUCAAGGACCCCAGAAUUUGCAUGGAAACAUGGAGGAGAGGAGAGAGGAAAUAACCUUUACAGAAAGAAAAUCAGUCAAAUCAUCUUUAUCAUUCAAACAAAAGAUGACAGGAAAUGAACAGGUGACUUCAAGGAUGAAAAAAAUACUCUUCUGCCAAUUCAAGAAAAGAUAAUGGAUGAGGUGUUACAGAACCUGUAGGUGAAUUUGAGUUUGCAUUAUAACCAUCUUUACCAAAGAUCUUUAUCAUGCAACAAACUACAUUUUGAGAACAAUGCCUGGAAUAAAGAGGGGAAGAAAAUGUUUAAUACUGCUACUUCCUCUAACUAAGAUCAUAGAAUCAUCAAAUCAUAAAAGGUUGGAAAAGACCUCUAAGAUCAGCCAUCAGCACCAUGCCCACUUUGGAGGAUGCCAAAGCAGACACAGAACUGAACAGCAGUCUCAGAUUGUGAUACAUCAUGCUUUUAGAAUUGUUAUUCUCUCCUGAUUCACCUUGUUGCAACUGUAACGAUGCCUGUAGUCCCAGAAGUGGGAGCAAGAAGAGAUCAUUACAACUGGGGCAUUUAUUUCCUCUCUGCUAUCAAAGAGAUGAGCCUCUGGACAGCAAAUUUAGUGGUAUUUUACUGGAUACAGAUGCAGAGCACUGCACAUCUCUUCUUCCUGCAAUAUAACAGCAGUGGAGAGUUCAGCUGAGAGAACAAACUUUGAGAAGAUAUCUCACUCCUGUAGGACAGUGAAAUAGUUGUCCAAAUCACAAUGUGGGACUCAGAGCCAUGGCCUAGAACAAGAGAAGGGUAUAUACCUUGUCUUUCUUAUUCUUACAAGGAAAGAUCAAGAUACAUCCAUAUGUGACUUUUGACAAUUCAAGAAAGAAAACUUCAAAUGCUCAGUGGAAAUGCUAAGUCACAGCUUGAAGCAGUGAUUGAGCACCUGGUGGAAGGCAGGGCCAACUCAGGUGAGCUCAGGUGCAUGCAAUGCAGCUGAGUGAUCAGAAGGACUGGAGCCAGGAUCCACCCCUUCCCAGCCCUCAUUUAAGGGUUGGCAGUGGAGGCAAGGAUAUCUUCCUAGAGUUUUCUACCUACCUGAGUCUUUCCAAAGAGUCUGGACAGAAGAGAUAGUAGAAAAUACGUCCAUUUCAUCAGACUGGAUGUGUUCAAAGGUGAUAACAGAAGCUGAAUGAACUUGGCUGCCACUGUCCCCGCCUACAGCCAAAGACUGAAUUUGGUGAUGGCCCUCCUUGAGUAGAGCCAAGUGGUGCUCCAUAGCCAAGACUGUCAGCCCAAAAGAGUUGCUGAUCAGCCUGGUCUCAUGUUCCAAGAAUGAAACCCUGGCAUGGAAGUGGCAUAUCUGCCAGUUAAUGUCAACAUUUGAUGUGCAGUCAGAGAGCAAACAAGGUUUCAUAUUGUGGUAAAAAGGGAAAUACUGUUUGCUUUAAUUCUAGUUUCUUUGUGUCAGAUGUAUUAAGAGUCUCAUAAAAUAGUGAAAGAAUUUCAUUCUUACUUACAAUUAUAAGAAGCAUAUAUAUAUACACACACAUAUACAUACACACACAAUGUACCUACUUCUACAAGUACAAACAAAAUGUAAAAUCUAGCUAGUAAUGAAUAGCUUGAAACAUCCUUUUCAGAAAACAUUAUAAUACAAGACUCCAGUGACUUUAUCUAACGCUCAGUUACUAAGAAGGGGAAGAGAACACUUAACUGUGAAUGAGCUUCCCUAUAGCAAAAGGAAAGUGCUCCCAGACUGAAAAAUAGGCAUGGACAGACUAAGAUAUCAUGUAGAGUGGGUACAGCUUGCUGUCCAGCUCUCACCACCUAUGUGUAUAUGACAAUUAAUCCAUGUGCUUUAUUGUCCUCCAGUCUUCUGGAUGAGAGAUCACAGGAGAUCACGUUUCAAACGGUGAUGUCCCAAGUGUGGGAAGAACAGAGCAAUGGGACUCUCACUGCUGUAGGAGGCAGUGCUCAGCACCACAGGAGAUAGUCCUGAGCUCCCAAGGACAAUAAUUAAUGACAACCAGCACUGGCACAGCACUUCUGUUGAGUCUCAGAGCAGAAACACCUGCAGCAUAUCCCACCCUGGCAGGGAAAUGGAGCUGGUGACCUAACAAUCUUUCCCACCUCUAACUUCUGGGGCUUUAUGAAUCGUCAGUCACACCUAGGUGUGAUAUCGCUAUAAAAUCCCAGUCACGUAAGAGAGCUGGCAGGAAGUUCUGGCUGUGCAACUCUGUGGUUUUAUGCUUAGCUAUGUUCUAAAUACUGAAAGAAUGAAGUAGACUUUCAAGCAUCAGCGUUGACAGUUGCUUUCAGAGAUAUUCAAACAAACAAAAUCCAGUCACCUAGACAGCAAAACCAGCUGCAGCUUGGGCUACAGCACAAACGUGACUUUUUGUUUUAAAAAGAAAGCCAUCACUAUCUAAAUGCCACCUGUGGUGUGGUGUGACUAAUACUGCUCUUCUUCAAGAGGUUGGCAAGGGCCUCUUUAUAGACUCAUAAAACCAUAGAAGCAUUUGGGUUGGAAAAGACCUUCAAGAUCAUUGAAGUCCAACCAUCAAACUCACCUACCAAGUGCCACCACCAAACCAUGUCCCUUAGUGCUGCAGAACAUCCCCAGAGCAAACAUGAGCACUGUGCCCAGCGCCAGCUCUGUACUUCACACAGAGGGUGGUGACGCACUGAACAGGUUGCCCAAGGAGGCUGUGGAUGCCCCAUCCCUGGAGGCAUUCAAGGCCAGGCUGGAUGUGGCUCUGGGCAGCCUGGUCUGCUGGUUGGCGACCCUGCACACAGCAGGGGGUUGAAACUAGAUGAUCACUGUUGUCUUUUUCAACCCAGGCCAUUCUAUGAUCCUAUGAUUCUAUGAUUGACUAUGGACUAUGGGUGACAUCUACCUGUCAUUGCUGCCAUCUUAACACUAGGGCAGAGCUCAGUACAUUUCUCUACAUGGUGUGUUGCAGUAGGAAAGUUUCUUUCCUUCUCCUCCUCCAAAGUCCUGCAACGGGAAAAGAAAACAUGGGAAACCGUGUCUUCAAAUCAUACACCCAUACUUCAUCUCAUUGUAUAAUCAUCACAAAAAUCUGGUGGUGAGCUGUACUGUAUCUGUGUUUUGUCUGGAGGUUGGAAGUGGUUUUAACGAUUUAAAUCAUGGUAAAGAAAAGGGCCACUCAAAACACAGAGCUGGAAAGCAGAACCGCUUCGGUGUCUGCAGUAUUCUAAACUAGAUUUUGGUCCAGGUCCUGCUCCACUGUGUCCUCGUGUUGGGAAAGUAUAUUCAGAGCUGACAUGGCUUUCCCAGGUGUUUUCUACUGGGACAAAGUGCAGAGAAUGCAGUUAAUCACGAGUGCAUUCAAGUGUCCUAAGGUCUUUGGGUGAAAGCUGUUAGAGACAUUGAAAAAGUGUUUAAUAAUCACAGCCCCAUGUCCUCAGCACAGGCUUUUUGGGUUCACGAAAGUUCAAACACCUUUUAAGAAAUUUAGGCCAAAAUGUAAGCAGGCCAGAGCCAUGCAGCAGUUCCAAUGGCAACGGGGACAGCGCUUUGUUGAACCAUUUUCAGGAUCAUGACUACUGGGUAAGAUGCAUGCUGAGUGGUGCUGCUUUUAUAAACCACAGCAGGCACAAAGGUACUGUGUGCAGUUUCCUAUAGUUGACAUAAAGAUAUAUACAUUUUUCUUUUCAACAGUCUCACUUCUACACAGUUUCAAUUAGAAGUGCAUAUAACAACAAUCCCCAAGAAGAUUCAACAUUGGGUCUUUCAACUGACUGUCAACACAUCCUGUUCUUCCUCAUUUGCAAUACUUGUCCCUAAAAACAAACUGGACACAAAAGGUACCUGUUUUUUUCAGCAAAAAUGAGACUCAUGGAUGAGAAUUAAAAAAACACAAGUUUUGUAGCAACUAUGAAAGCUGCAACCUCAGCUAAAAGAAAACAUAGAUAUUUCCCUGCUCUCUAUUUUCCUGUCUUUCCAUUGGUUCCUCGGACCAUCCUCGGGGAUAGUAUUGAGGCAUACACACACUUAAUUCCAUGCAAGAGGCUGUUAUUGUGCUAUUGCACUGUAUGGAGUGCUAUGGCCUAGCAAGGGAGACGUGAAACUCACUACAGAUAAAGGAAUUUCUUGCCAAAAGAAAGGAAAAGAUAGCAUCUAUUUCUAUUUCCUGUAAAGAGAGGCAAUUGGAGAGCUGCCUUAUGUUAAUUUGAUUCUUAGAAAAAGGAUAAAAUCACUACAAAUGAAACAGUCACACCUCCUGUAACGAUUUCCUGUUUUGUUUUGCCUUUUUCCCUAGCUUAAGUCUAUACUUAUGAAAUGCUUUUGGAUUAUGUAAAAACAUUGCAGAGGAUUUUAUUGCCUCUUGUUGUACUGGCUAAGAGUUACCCAAACCAUCCACAGAUGGAAGAAGAAGGGGUUAUGUGCAACUUCUGGAGUAGCUAGAAGGAAGUGGUGUUCUAAACUAUGGUUAUUUAACCAAAGGAGCUCAAAAUGAGUGGGAAAUACUUGUGUUCCACACAGCAUUAUUGUACACUACGUAUCAAAUACAACCAAUAGAGAAAGACAAAUAACCUGGGAAUGGCAAACGCUUCCAGUGAAUUACAAAUAUGUUUUAGAGUGACCUGAAUCGCAUUUCAAAGCGCUCAGAAUAUUAUCCCACUAAUUCAAGUGUUUACCGUGGAUCCAGUCUCACUGCCUCCAUUCAUGUGAACAGUUCCAUCCAUAGCAAGAAGACUGCAGAGCUUUCACCUGCUGACCUGCCCUCUCCAGCUGAGGGUUGCAGAAGAGAAGACUCUCCCUGGACCAUGAGAUCCAACAAACACCUCUCAACAGAAAUACAGGCUUGUGGACUGAUCGGAAAGUGACAAAGUAUUUCUAGUACAUAACGUAAAAGACAGGAUCCAUCUUCACUUUGAAUAAUUACUGCCAGAGCUGAAUCAGAAACUGCCAAAGCUGCAGGAAAGAAUCCAACAUUUUUCUACACAGAUUCAAAGCAAAUAUGAAUUCCCUUCCCUUUCCUUUCCCUUCCCUUCUACCACAACCCCUUUCACUUCAUUCCCUUUGAAUAACUUACCAUGAAUGAAUUUAGUGAGGGAAUGGUACACAAGAAAUCUUUGGGCAAAUCCUCAGCUGUUUCAAUUGGCUGCAGUAAAGCUACACUCUUUUACACCCUGAAGAUGCACCACAGUGGAUGUGAAAAGCUCUCUUGGAGAUUAUUCACCUCGUAUGAAUGCAACUGUUCCCAUCAGCUAUCUCAGCUUAAAGAUUGUGGUUAUUGAGUCAGGGGACAGAACAAUGGUAUGGGAUUGAGCCCAAGCAAUUAACUCUUCCCUCAACUUUAUUACUGAAUCCUGAACUGGCAUCCCACAGAGAACCUGUAACAAUCUUAUUCAGAUCAAAGCCCCCACUUUUUAAAUAAUGAGAAGUUUGGAAAACAAAAAUCAAAGGGCAGCCUAUGAUUCACACACAGAAAUUUUAUAAAAACCACAAAAUCAAAAGGCCCUUAAUUGAGGCCUUUCAACCCAACCAAGUAUUCAUUCCAAGAUAAUUACUGCCAUAAAACCCUCUGCCACAGAGACACUGGACUAGAAAACCUUUGAAUUGCACACGGAACUUAAGGAAAGAGCUGGCUGGGAUGUAAUCCUGCUGAGACCUGAAAAGGAGAAGUUCUGGGGGGGAACGAAGCCUUCAGUGCAAGUCAUUCCUCUGUAAAAACAUGUCAUCAUUGAGAAGGCUCUACAACAAGAAAAGACUGGGGAAGAUCUGCCAGGAGCAAACCAGGUACUCUUAUAAAUAAGGAACAAAUAGCACUGUACAUCACAUGGGUUAAAUGCCAUGAGUAGCAUCAAAUGGUAUCUUGAAGAACAGAUGAGUCAACAGCCAGAAAUGCAACUGAUUAAAACCAAAAUUAAACUGGCUCUAACUGAUGGUGCAUGAAGGGCUACAAUCAAAAAAAGAAAAGAAAAAGGGAAAGUCUUCUGCUGUUGGGAUUCCUCUGUUCCUUCAAGCUACAAUAGGUUCUGAGCUACACAACGUUAAAAUCGUCACUGUCCUUUUGGGCACCUCACCAAAGAUGAGGGCAACUCUUGGAGCAAUGCAGUGCUCAGUCCCUGCCAUAGACCUGCCUCACAAACAGUGGUUUGGUUUUGUGGUUGUUGGCCAAUAUCUGAAAGGAUAGAAUUUCCAGACUGGAAGGGAUCCACCAGCACCGGAGUCCAACUCCUGCUCACUCUCAAGGUACUGAUUAAGAAGCUUUAGACUGACAAAUAAGUACACUUAGGAAGUUCUCCAAAUAGAUGACUGAUUAUAAUUGCUAAGGACUUUCAGAUGAAAUGGCUUUAACAUAACUUUUACUGAAAAUUUGGUAUGACAGAGGGCUAUACUCAACAGGAACUAUUUCUGUCAAUCUAGAUGUAUUUCACCAUGGUUGCAUGGCUGAUCAAAUAUCUCUACAAACAAAUGCAAUUGUUGAAAUUUUGAAAUGAAACAAUUAUGGUCCUCUUAUUUUCUGAUCAAUUCAGAUAUAUGAAGACAAAUACGUAGUUAGCAUACAAAGAGGCAUCCCUCCAAACAUUACAUUUGGUUCCUAUGAAAAUUUUCUUGCUGUAGUAAGGCC
ensembl:lncRNA